rnacentral:rRNA from 1 species
UACGUAGGGUCCAAGCGUUAUCCGGAAUCACUGGGCGUAAAGGCGCGUAGGCGGCCGUUCAAGUCGGGGGUGAAAGCCUGUGGCUCAACCACAGAAUGGCCCUCGAUACUGGAUGGCUCGAGACCGGAAGAGGUUGGUGGAACUGCGAGUGUAGAGGUGAAAUUCGUAGAUAUUCGCAAGAACACCAGUGGCGAAGGCGGCUCACUGGCCCGGAACUGACGCUGAGACGCGAAAGCGUGGGGAGCAAACAGG